rnacentral:rRNA from 1 species
GAUGAACGUUGGCGGCGUGCCUAAUACAUGCAAGUCGAACGAAGACUGUAGUAAUACUGUCUUAGUGGCGAACGGGUGAGUAACGCGUGGGUGACCUGCCCCGAAGUGUGGGAUAACAGUUCGAAAGGAUUGCUAAUACUGCAUAAUAUCCAAGAGAUUAGACGCUUUUGGAUUAAAGGAGUAAUUCGCUUCGGGAGGGGCCCGCGUCCCAUCAGCUAGUUGGUAAGGUAAUGGCUUACCAAGGCGAUGACGGGUAGGGGACCUGAGAGGGUGGCCCCCCACAAUGGAACUGAAACACGGUCCAUACACCUACGGGUGGCAGCAGUAGGGAAUAUUAGUAAUGGGCGAAAGCCUGAACUAGCAACGCCGCGUGUGCGAAGAAGGCCUUCGGGUUGUAAAGCACUUUUUGUAGAGGAUAGAGGAAGGACGGUACGUCUCAGAAUAAGUCUCGGCUAACUACGUG